rnacentral:rRNA from 1 species
AUUGAACGCUGGCGGCAGGCCUAACACAUGCAAGUCAAGCGGAUGAAGGGAGCUUGCUCCUGGAUUCAGCGGCGGACGGGUGAGUAAUGCCUAGGAAUCUGCCUGGUAGUGGGGGAUAACGUCCGGAAACGGGCGCUAAUACCGCAUACGUCCUGAGGGAGAAAGUGGGGGAUCUUCGGACCUCACGCUAUCAGAUGAGCCUAGGUCGGAUUAGCUAGUUGGUGGGGUAAAGGCCUACCAAGGCGACGAUCCGUAACUGGUCUGAGAGGAUGAUCAGUCACACUGGAACUGAGACACGGUCCAGACUCCUACGGGAGACAGCAGUGGGGAAUAUUGGACGAUGGGCGAAAGCCUGAUCCAGCCAUGCCGCGUGUGUGAAGAAGGUAUUCGGAUUGAAAAACGCUUUAAGUUGGGAGGAAGGGCAGUAAGUUAAUACCUUACUGUUUUGACGUUACCAACAGAAUAAGCACCGGCUAACUUCGUG